UACGGGGGGGGCAAGCGUUGUUCGGAAUUACUGGGCGUAAAGGGCUCGUAGGUGGCCCCAUAAGUCAGACGUGAAAUCCCUCGGCUCAACCGAGGAACUGCGUCUGAGACUGCGGGGCUUGAAUCCGGGAGAGGGAUGCGGAAUUCCAGGUGUAGCGGUGAAAUGCGUAGAUAUCGGGAGGAACACCAGUGGCGAAGGCGGCUUCCUGGCCUGUUCUUGACGCUGAGGCGCGAAAGCUAGGGGAGCAAACGGG
rnacentral:rRNA from 1 species